rnacentral:rRNA from 1 species
UCGGGAAUCUUGCACAGUGGGCGAAAGCCUGAUGCAGCAACACCGUGUGAGCGAGGAAGGCCUUCGGGUCGUAAAGCUCUGUUGUUGGGGACGAAGGGCGAAGGGUUAAUAGCCCCUAGCCUGACGGUACCCUUCGAGGAAGCCCCGGCUAACUACCUGCCAGCAGCCGCGGUAAUACGCAGGGGGCGAGCGUUGUCCGGAAUUAUUGGGCGUAAAGAGCGUGUAGGCGGCCCGGUAAGUCCGCCGUGAAAACCUGGGGCUCAACCCUGGGCGUGCGGUGGAUACUGCUGGGCUAGAGGAUGGUAGAGGCGAGUGGAAUUCCUAGUGUAGCGGUGAAAUGCGUAGAGAUUAGGAAGAACACCGGUGGCGAAAGCGCUCUGCUAGGCCGCAACUGACACUGAGGGACGAAAGCUAGGGGAGCGAAUGGGAUUAGAUACCCCCGUAGUCC